GUCUACCGCCACGCUACCCUGAACAUACCUGAUCUUGUCUGAUCUCAAAAGUUAAACAGGGUCAGGCCUGGUUAGUACUUGGAGGGGAGACUACCAAGGAAUACCAGGUGCUGUAGGCU
ensembl:rRNA 5S_rRNA 5S ribosomal RNA